rnacentral:lncRNA from 1 species
GUGGGAUGAGCUCUAUAGCCCAGUGAGUAGAACAGUAAAAUAUCUCAGUAAAAUAUGAUCUCAUGGAAUGCGUCACAAUACAGACAAACCACAUCAAGAGUAAACCUGUCACCACAUAAUCCCAGUAAACCGUGCCAGGCCGUAGACUGGGGUCCUGGACUUCCUGUACCAUAUAUGUAUAUGUGUAUAUAACACCUGUACUUACCCUUUGCCAGUAUAGACCAAUUGCCUAUACCCGCCAGGCCGUAGAAUGGGGUCCUGGUCUUCCUUUACCUGCCAGGCCGUAGAAUGGGGUCCUGGUCUUCCUGUCUGGAACUACUGGAUCAUUCAGCAUUUACCCACACCAACAAUGAAGCUAUGCAAUGCAACAUCUUUGUGCAUUCUAAUGCAAUCACCCUAUGGGAUAAAUAUGAUGCAUGAAAUAUGCUAAAAGCAGUUAUUGUCUGAAAUAAAUCAAGUAAUUAGUUUAGUUCCACUCACCUCUGGCUCUGGACUGACUUUGCAGGUUCUGUACACUCUAGAGCAGUACUCACUGCUGCUCUCUCUGGUUCCUCUGGUCUGUACAGAUACAGAUAAAAGCAAAUGAGGGACCAAACUAGCUUCUGAAUACCUCUAUGACACUCCCCCAGAAAUCCUUUCAACUCACUCAACUAACCAUGCAAAGCAUGCAAAAGGAAGCUGGACAGAACACUUUCGGCGGCAGGUUCGGCGGCCGAAUGUCCUCUCCAGAAACGAAACUCAAGCACCUUCGGCGGCACCUUCGGCGGCCGAAUCCCCCAAACAGAGCCGAACAUGCAAAACUCGCGG